rnacentral:snRNA from 1 species
UGCUCGCUUGGGCAGCACAUAUAUAACAUUGGAAUGAAACAGAGAAGAUUAGCAUGGCCCUUGUGCAAGGAUGACAUGCAAAUUCGUAAAGCGUUCCAUAUUUUU